rnacentral:lncRNA from 13 species
GGCGGGGUGGAAGACGUAUAUUCAGCUCAUCACUAAUGUCACGUGAAACCAUGGUGAUGAAGAGAACAUAAAACAUUUGAAAUGCAUCUAAAAUUAAACCAAUUACGUCCCUUGGCUCUGAUAGAGAGAAAAAACCUAAUGUUUUUUUCAGAGUGGAAUUUUGUCUCUAUUAGGUGGAGACAUCGCCAGGACUGGAGGCAGGGUAACCUAAUGUGUUUUCAGAAUGAACUAAGUCCAGCAUCUGUAAUGACACGAAUAUACUCCGCUCUACGACAUUGCACGUCCUAAUAUUUAUAUAUGUCUUUAUUCCAUUAUUUACAUUUUAAAUCUGUGUAUUGUUGUGUAUUGUUGUGUAUUGUUGUGUAUUGUUAGAUAUUACUGCAUUGUUGGAGCUUGGAACACAAGCAUUUCGCUAUACCCGCAAUAACUGUCAUGUACUGUCAUGUUGUGUCUUGUUUCUGUCCUUUCCCUUCACCCUGUCUCCCUCUGCUGGUCGUUGUUAGGUUACCUUUUCUCCCCCUCUUUCCCCCAGCUGUGCCUUGUCUCCUCCUAACUACCUCGUCACCCCUUUUCCCACCUGUUACCUUUUCUCCCCCUCUUUCCCCCAGCUGUGCCUUGUCUCCUCCUAACUACCUCGUCACCCCUUUUCCCACCUGUUCCCUUUUUCCCUCUGAUUAGUCCUCUAUAUCUCUCUCUGUUUCUGCUCCUGUCUUUGUCGGAUUCUUGUUUGUGUUACUCAUGCCUGAACCAGACUAUCGUCGUGUUUGCUGCAACCUUGUCCUGUCCUGUCGGAAUCUGCCUGUCCAUCUGAGCCUACGUGUGUUUCGUCAUUAAAGUAACUCUGUUUUGUUAAUUCGCUUUUGGGUCUUCAUUCACGCACCAUAACAAUAACAUCUGCUAAAUAUGUGUAUAUGAACAAUACAGUUUGAUUUGAUUUGAUGUAACACACAAAAGACAUACACACACAGCACACAGGCGUGGCACAUGCACCCAGUUCAUUUCAGCACCAUGGAGAGCUCAUUGAUACUGUACGUUAUGUUAGUCAAUGAUUUCCUGACGUUUUGUCAGCGGUUCCUGCCUACUGUAGCUCAUGGUGGAGAGCAUAUUUAUCCUCAUAACGUCCCCUCCUCCGCAGUUCAAUGAAAAUAAGCUUGCUAGUGUUACCAAGGCAGUUAGCCCACACACACACACACACACACUGACACACAGACGGUUGGCUACACAGAGCCUGUGCUUAGUAGCUAUUUGUUUGAUGAUGCCAGUGAACUUACUGCUAACAAUGUGCAACAGCUCAAUCAUUUCAGGCCUACUCACAGGCGAUGUUAAAUAUGAAUAGGUCUAACCCUAAAUCAAAAUGCCCUUCAACAAAACAGUUUUUCAAAGACCAAAUAAUUAUCUUGAUCACUGCCGAGCUGUGAGAGGAAAUGUUUUUAUGUUGGUUCCCAA